rnacentral:rRNA from 1 species
CGUGUAGGCGGGCAGGUAAGUCGGGCGUGAAAUCCCUGGGCUCAACCCAGGAACUGCACUCGAAACUACCAGUCUUGAGUACCGGAGAGGAAAGCGGAAUUCCUGGUGUAGAGGUGAAAUUCGUAGAUAUCAGGAGGAACACCAGUGGCGAAGGCGGCUUUCUGGACGGUAACUGACGCUGAGACGCGAAAGCGUGGGGAGGCAAAACA